rnacentral:rRNA from 1 species
AAUUGUUCGCAAUGGGCGCAAGCCUGACGACGCAACGCCGCGUGGAGGAUGAAGAAUUUCGGUUCGUAAACUCCUGUCGAGCGGGACGAAAGAUGCGCGGGUUAAUACCCCGCGCAAGUGACGGUACCGCUAAAGGAAGCCCCGGCUAACUCCGUGCCAGCAGCCGCGGUAAGACGGAGGGGGCAAGCGUUGUCCGGAAUCACUGGGCGUAAAGAGCACGUAGGUGGUCGGGUGCGUCGGUGCUGAAAACUCUGGGCUUAACCCAGAGACGCGUGCCGAUACGACUCGACUUGAGGCAGGGAGAGGGUAGCGGAAUUCCGGGUGUAGUGGUGAAAUGCGUAGAGAUCCGGAGGAACGCCAGAGACGAAGGUGGCUACCUGGCCCUGACCUGACACUGAGGUGCGAAAGCGUGGGGAGCGAA